CGGGUGAGUAACGCGUGAGGAACCUGCCUCAAAGAGGGGGACAACAGUUGGAAACGACUGCUAAUACCGCAUAAGCCCACGGCUCGGCAUCGAGCAGAGGGAAAAGGAGUGAUCCGCUUUGAGAUGGCCUCGCGUCCGAUUAGCUAGUUGGUGAGGUAACGGCCCACCGAGGCGACGAUCGGUAGCCGGACUGAGAGGUUGAACGGCCACAUUGGGACUGAGACACGGCCCAG
rnacentral:rRNA from 1 species